UACGAAGGGGGCUAGCGUUGCUCGGAAUCACUGGGCGUAAAGGGCGCGUAGGCGGCCGUUUAAGUCGGGGUGAAAGCCUGUGGCUCAACCACAGAAUUGCCUUCGAUACUGGACGGCUUGAGUAUGGUAGAGGUUGGUGGAACUGCGAGUGUAGAGGUGAAAUUCGUAGAUAUUGGGAAGAACACCGGUGGCGAAGGCGGCGAGCUGGUCCAUUACUGACGCUGAGGCGCGACAGCGUGGGAGCAAACAGG
rnacentral:rRNA from 1 species